rnacentral:rRNA from 1 species
UACGAAGGGGGCUAGCGUUGCUCGGAAUCACUGGGCGUAAAGCGCACGUAGGCGGAUCGUUAAGUCAGGGGUGAAAUCCUGGAGCUCAACUCCAGAACUGCCUUUGAUACUGGCGACCUUGAGUUCGGGAGAGGUGAGUGGAACUGCGAGUGUAGAGGUGAAAUUCGUAGAUAUUCGCAAGAACACCAGUGACGAAGGCGGCUCACUGGCCCGAUACUGACGCUGAGGUGCGAAAGCGUGGGGAGCAAACAGG